AGAGUUUGAUUAUGGCUCAGGAUGAACGCUGGCGGCGUGCUUAACACAUGCAAGUCGAGCGAAGCGAUUCAAAUGAAGUUUCGGAUGGAUUUGAAUUGACUUAGCGGCGGACGGGUGAGUAACGCGUGGGUAACCUGCCUCAUACAGGGGGAUAACAGUUGGAAACGGCUGCUAAUACCGCAUAAGCACACAGUGCCGCAUGGUACGGUGUGAAAAACUCCGGUGGUAUGAGAUGGACCCGCGUCUGAUUAGGUAGUUGGUGAGGUAACGGCCCACCAAGCCGACGAUCAGUAGCCGACCUGAGAGGGUGACCGGCCACAUUGGGACUGAGACACGGCCCAAACUCCUACGGGAGGCAGCAGUGGGGAAUAUUGGACAAUGGGGGAAACCCUGAUCCAGCCGACGCCGCGUGAGUGAAGAAGUAUUUCGGUAUGUAAAGCUCCAUCAGCAGGGAAGAAAAUGACGGUACCUGACUAAGAAGCCCCGGCUAACUACGUGCCAGCAGCAGC
rnacentral:rRNA from 1 species